AGAAGCCAAUUGUCCAAAAAAAGUCAAAUUGUGUAGUCUCUCUCUCUCUCUCUCUCUCUGACUGCAGGAGGACUGAUGCAUUGAAAGCAAAACAUUCAACCUUCAAUUCAACUGGUCUAUCAAUCAAGUCUGUCGAUCAACCAAGCUGAAGCUGAAGCCAAGUUGGGUGUGUAAGGGGUCUACUGAGUAGCACAGAGGCAGAAGCAUAAAGGUAAGACUGGGAUGCUAAUACAUCACUCUGCUUUUCAACAGGUCUAAAGAACAUACACAGCUUCC
rnacentral:lncRNA from 1 species